UAAGGAAUAUUGGUCAAUGGGCGGAAGCCUGAACCAGCCAUGCCGCGUGCAGGAUGACUGCCCUAUGGGUUGUAAACUGCUUUUGUCCAGGAAUAAACCUAGAUACGUGUAUCUAGCUGAAUGUACUGGAAGAAUAAGGAUCGGCUAACUCCGUGCCAGCAGCCGCGGUAAUACGGAGGAUCCGAGCGUUAUCCGGAUUUAUUGGGUUUAAAGGGUGCGUAGGCGGCCCUAUUAAGUCAGGGGUGAAAUACGGUGGCUCAACCAUCGCAGUGCCUUUGAUACUGAUGGGCUUGAAUCCAUUUGAAGUGGGCGGAAUAAGACAAGUAGCGGUGAAAUGCAUAGAUAUGUCUUAGAACUCCGAUUGCGAAGGCAGCUCACUAAGCUGGUAUUGACGCUGAUGCACGAAAGCGUGGGGAUCGAACAGGAUUAGAUACCCCUUGGUUAGUCCACGCCCUAAAACGAUGAUAACUCGAUGUUGGGCGAUAGACAGGCCAGCGUCCAAGCGAAAAGCGUUAAGUUAUCCACCUGGGGGAGUACCGCCCCGCAAGGGUGAAAACUCAAAUGAAUUGCGGGGGCUCAUAGCUGUUUUU
rnacentral:rRNA from 1 species